AUUGAACGCUGGCGGCAGGCCUAACACAUGCAAGUCGAGCGAGCGGCGGACGGGUGAGUAAGGUAUCGGAAUCUGCCUGGUGGAGGGGGAUAACUACUGGAAACGGUAGCUAAUACCGCAUACCAUGAGAUGAGCCGAUAUGGGAUUAGCUUGUUGGUAAGGUAAAGGCUAACCUAGGCGACGAUCCCUAGCUGGUCUGAGAGGAUGAUCAUCCACACUGGGACUGAGACACGGCCCAGACUCCGACGGGAGGCAGCAGUGGGGAAUAUUGCACAAUGGGCGCAAGCCUGAUGCAGCCAUGCCGCGUGUAUGAAGAAGGCCUUCGGGUUGUAAAGUACUUUCAGUCGGGAGGCGUUACCGACAGAAGAAGCACCGGCUAACUCCGUGCCAGCAGCCGCGGUAAUAC
rnacentral:rRNA from 1 species